rnacentral:rRNA from 1 species
GAUGAACGCUGGCGGCGUGCCUAAUACAUGCAAGUCGAGCGAAGCGGGGACGGGUGAGUAACACGUGGAUAACCUCCUAUAAGACUGGGAUAACUUCGGGAAACCGGUGCUAAACCGGCUACUUAUCGAUGGAUCCGCGUUGCAUUAGCUGGUUGGUAAGGUAACGGCUUACCAAGGCAACGAUGCAUAGCCGACCUGAGAGGGUGAUCGGCCACACUGGGACUGAGACACGGUCCAGACUCCUACGGGAGGCAGCAGUGGGGAAUCUUCCGCAAUGGGCGAAAGCCUGACGGAGCAACGCCGCGUGAGUGAUGAAGGUCUUCGGAUCGUAAAACUCUGUUAUUAGGGAAGCGGUACCUACACAGAAAGCCACGGCUAACUCCGUGCCAGCAGCCGCGGUAAUUC